GGCGAGGGAGAGGGCAUCACGCAGUAGCCCUGGCCGCUGCCGGUGCAGACCAAACAGUUAAUCGCUAGGCGGGGCGGCCUUGAGAGCAUAUAGAGGUCGAGAGGGGAGAGAGUUAUAGUUGUGGCUGCGCUGAGAGGUGAGAUUAUUGUAUGAUGUCAGUGGAGGGAGGAGCACGCUGGCAAGGAGGAGCAGCCGUGGCCUCGACCAUAUGACGCGGAAGGCGCGCGCUACAGGAAAUUGAUUGGCUCAUGCUGGCUAUUUGGAGAGCAGAGACAUUCAUAGGCGAUUAUCACGGUGCCGCGGCUGCUUGCUAUCGAGGGCUGCAGGCUAUGGCCUACGGCUGAAGAGAGAAAAUAGGUUGUUGUUUGGGGUGUGCUAUUGCUGGUAUUGCUGCCACGUGCUAGAUGUUAUUGAGAAACAGAGAUUACAAGCUGCUAGAUGUCACUACUGCAUUAACUAGAAGCUGCUACAUCAUACGGAGUACAUCUCAACUUCAGUUUGAGAACUGUUAGCAACCUUUCUUUUGUGACAAACCUUGAGCAUAUGGCGUGCCGUAUGUGCCACUACUAGCAACGACGAGCUAGAACCAGGAGGCUGAUAUAGUGGGUGGACGAAGAAGAAGACAAAGAAGGCGUGCCGUAUGUGCCACUACUAGCAACGACGAGCUAGAACCAGGAGGCUGAUAUAGUGGGUGGACGAAGAAGAAGACAAAGAAGGUGCAUGUUUGAUAUAAUUGAAUUGCACUACUAGAAUAUCUCUGUCUCACCCUCAAAAAAAAUAUCUGUCUCCAAGCAUGAUUUUCGUGUCUUGUGUGUUGUGUUAUUUUAC